rnacentral:lncRNA from 1 species
CGAGAGGCCGAGACCUUGGAAGGCUUGGCCGAGACCUUGGAAGACUUGGCCGAGAGGCCGAGACCUUGGAAGGCUUGGCCGAGACCUUAGAAGACUUGGCCGAGAGGCCGAGACCUUAGAAGACUUGGCCGAGAGGCCGAGACCUUGGAAGGCUUGGCCGAGACCUUAGAAGACUUGCCCGAGGGGCCGAGACCUUAGAAGACUUGGCCGAGAGGCCGAGACCUUAGAAGACUUGGCCGAGACGACCGAGACCACUGGAACAUGGCCGAUGGCCGACCCAUGCCAUGAUGAUUUGGCCGAUGGCCGACCCCUAUUACAGUUAACGCUCAAACCAAGAUCAGUGAAGUUAAUCUAUCAUUAAGAAUUAGGUAAUGCAAACCUAAGAGGUGUCCACCUCGAUAAAUGGGCCCAACAAGGUAGGCCCACUAGAAUAAUAUAAAUAGUACGCAUCCCAAGGAGUAAGGUAUGUCAUUUAUCACUCUGAGAGCUGACCACCCGCUUUACUGACUUGAGCGUCGGAGUGCCUUCGCAGGUACCC